CAUUUCUCUCAGUCAACAGUCAAUCAGGUUGAUCAACGUGAAAGUGCUGACAUGAAGCUUGGGUUGCUUGUCGUGGUGGCUGUGGCAGUUGUGCUGCCCAGCUUUUCUGAGAGCAGGAUUGUCUCCAAAUGUGAGCUCAAAGACAAGCUCGGGAAAAUGAUCAAUCUGCCCAGAAACUCAAAGGAAAAAAUCUUGGCAAUAGUUAUCUGUGACGUGAAACGGAGGUCUGAUCUGAACACCGCUUUGGUCACAUCAUUUGGAAAGUGCACUAACACUACUACUAGCCCAACUAGUACUAACUCCACCAUCAGCUCAGUGAACACAACCCUUGAGUCAAACAGCACAAGUAGCAGUGAGGAAGACAGCAGUGAGGAGGAGAGCAGGCAAAUUAACGGAGGAGUGGAAGACAGCAGGGAGGAGGAAAAUUUGACGCCUUUGUCCCUCAGCCUUUACGGGCUCUUCCAGCUGUCUGACAGGAAGUUCUGUGAUUCAGGGUAUUGCCCAUCUGAAAAUUUGUGUAAUACCUCCUGCACAGGUGAGGUCCUACACCAAAAGCAAACACAGAUUUACUAGGGAGAUUGAGAUGACAGCCUCAGAGUCAUGUCGUCACAACUGGAAUUGCUUCAAAGAAUGUAAAUGAAUGGCUGCGAGAUCACAGUUUAUACGUGCAGGAUCACAACUAUUUAUUCUUCAGAACCAUCUCCUGUUAGCUGUGAUCAAGAAACUGCAUGCUCGAUUACCUACUAUAUGUUACGAAGCACUAUUUUCUUUCUUUGGUGGGGGAAUCUUUCAAUAAAUAUUACUUUGCAGCAUGAAUGUAUAUACCCAUAGUAAAACCAAAGCUCACACUCUGCUGCUCUUCUUAUCACAUAACAUGAAGAGCUGUGUGGGAAACAAAACCCACCAUAAAUGAUUCCCAUAUGAAAUUUAAAAAAAACCCAGAAUAAUCUAAGAUAUUUAAAGACCUACUUGUGAGCCUUAUUUUUGAUCAAAUUGUAAUACUUGCCCUCAACACAAAAAUUAAGGGCUAGGUAGGUUAUGAUAGCUAUUUUCCUUUAAUAAAUUAAAUUUACAUUUAAAAUCUGUAUGUUGUAUUUAAUUUGGUUGUUUUUAUUUAGUUAGUUUUUCAAUAUGUAGUGUGACAAAUAUGCAAAAGGGGAAAAAAGAGAAAUCAGCUACUGGAGAACAGUUAACGGGGAAAUUUGGAUACAUAAAUAGAUUAUUUGUAACAAAAACACUUAACUGUAAAUGCACUUGAACAGGGGGCAAACAAUGUUUUUACAGGGAAGAGGAAAUAUUUGUACUGUAAACAAUUCAGUCAUGUGUAACAACAUCUAUUUAACAGGAAAGAAAUAUUUAUGCUGGAAACAACUGUUUUAAAAUCUAAGAGACCAUUACAUCAAUGCUCGAUCCCCCCCCUCCAGCAGAUCCAAGUACUUGCAUAAGGAAACUAUGAUGUAAUUACUGAUGCAAAUUGAGCCCAGUGUCACAACCAUAAACUGGAUCAGAUUAAAACAUACCAUUUGU
ensembl:lncRNA